rnacentral:lncRNA from 1 species
AAUGGUAGGCCAUGGUGAGAAUGUCAGUGUUUUAUAAUGUUGGAAGAUUCAUCGAUUUGGUUGGUACUUAGGAAAGUGGUUUUAAUGGGUCAUGCCCAUAAUGACCAAUCCUGUAAAUGCCUUUUAAUUUGGAAGAUAGUGACAGUGACUUUGCUUUAGCCUUUAAGGAUACUGUUUUUACUCUUUGUUGAUAAGGAUGUGCCGUGAGCCAUGUAGGCUGCUGGAUUUGCAUCAUGCUUUUCAUAAAUUGUGAUGUUGAAGUUUGUUUUCCUCAACUGGAUCUUCAAUUUUCAACUAAUAGUGAUUUCAUCCUGUCCUGUGCUAAACUUUUUUUCUGUUUAAUCUGAUGCCAUAGAUUAGGAUGUGCUUAAAUAACAUUAUCGACCUAAAAUUAGCUUGCUUUGCUCCUCUUUGAGGGAUCUUUUUGGGUCUAUCCCAUACAUACUGUUAGUGUGAACUGAGAAUAUUUCCAUGUGAUUGAGUUUCUGCUGACAUGUUGGAGCUGGUCAUUUCUGUGCAUCAUUCCUGUACAAAUUGUGCCCGACUUGCAAGAUAGAUGAGUUUAAGAGGAAGCGAGACUUAGGUUAGCAAUAUAAUGGAGAAAUAUAUAUUUGGAUUCAAUGGAUUUUCAAUAGAGAAAUGAGUAAUAGACAUUUGGCAAGGUGAAGAGUAGCCAACUAGCUGUCAAAUAAUCUGCUACUAAUCAUGAUGGAUCGUGGCUGAAAACAUGGACAACUGGGACACUCUGCUUAUGAUGAGGUUUAGUUUUUGUGUGAUUCAUGGCUCACACAAAUCAUGGACUUUCAAGAGGGAAAUUUUUGAAGAAUGGCAGAAUUACAUUUUCAAGCACACAGACGUGAUGUUUAAAUAUUCUAAUAUUUCCAUCACCGCCAUGGAUGGCCAGUGGCUGGCAGUCCUUUCUGAUUGUAGUUUCCAAGAAGUCGAGCUCCAGUCUUUAGAACCUUAUGCUAGUCUUCCUAUUUUGUUUGGAUGAAAGAAAAAUUCUCUGUGCAGCAUGAAUUUAUUACAAUGGUCAAGUUUCAAUUACCUAAUAAUAUUGGAACAAGGAUCAUGGUUGGACAAAGGUUCACUCUGAAUGCGAUGCAAUCAACUCUGUCAUUAGUACUUAUAAGGAAAAUUGCUCCUUGGCAUUCUAUUUUCUGAAAUGAUCAGGGAGAGUGCCUUUAUGGUCAUGUUGGGUCAUUUUUAGCUUGGUUUAUCUCAUUUGCAUUAUUUUCCGUCAUGUGAGUCAUUAUACUUCUGUUUUUAUCACUUGUGAAUGCUCUCUUACAUAAUGUACCUAGGCUGAUUGUUAAGUUGACUGUGCUCUGUUUGCUAUCUAUUUGUGAUAUAUCCUAACUUAGUGUUUCUUAUCUGUCGAUAAAAUGUUGGGGUGCACCUGCUGUUUCAUGUUUUCAAAGGUUCGGUCAUGGUUGGAAGUGCAUGCAGUCUUUGAAAUCAUGAUUGAUCAGACUUUUGUGAAUCAUAAGUC